ACAGGUGCUGCAUGGCUGUCGUCAGCUCGUGUCGUGAGAUGUUGGGUUAAGUCCCGUAACGAGCGCAACCCACGCCUUUAGUUGCCAUCAUCAGGUUGGGCACUCUAGAGGGACCNCCCCGUUAACGGGAGGAAGGUGUGGAUGACGUCAAGUCCUCAUGGCCCUUAUGGCCAGGGCUACACACGUACUACAAUGGGCGGUACAAAGGGCAGCUACAUCGCGAGGUGGAGCCAAUCCCCCAAAACCGUUCUCAGUCCGGAUCGGAGUCUGCAACUCGACUCCGUGAAGUUGGAAUCGCUAGUAAUCGUGGAUCAGCAAGCCACGGUGAAUACGUUCCCGGGCCUUGUACACACCGCCCGUC
rnacentral:rRNA from 1 species